GGGCACCCUGUCCUGGAGGCUGGCACGGUGCUAGGGAUUUCUGUGCCAGCAUCUUGCACUGACUCCCUUGUCCUGUGCCCCAGGAGUGGAAGAGGAGGUGGCAGAUGUGC
ensembl:miRNA gga-mir-6604 gga-mir-6604